rnacentral:rRNA from 1 species
GACGAACGCUGGCGGCGUGCUUAAAACAUGCAAGUCGAACGAGGCCUAUGGCCUAGUGGCGAACGGCGGAGUAAUACAUAAGCAACCUGCCCCGAAGACCGGGAUAGCCCCUCGAAAGAGGGAUUAAUACCGGAUGUGUCCCUCAGGAGGCAUCUCUUGAGGAGUAAAACGCGUAAGCGGCUUUGGGUGGGGCUUGUGGUCUAUCACCUUGUUGGUGGGGUAACGGCCUACCAAGGGGUUCGACGGANAGCUGGUCUGAGAGGACGAUCAGCCCGACUGGGACUGAGACACGGCCCAGACUCCUACGGGAGGCAGCAGUCGAGAGGCUUUGGCAAUGGGGGAAACCCUGACCAAGCGACGCCGCGUGGAGGAUGAAGGCCCUUGGGUUGUAAACCGCUGUCAGGUGGGGAGGAAUUCCCGUGGGGUACUCCCCAGGGAUUGACCUAUCUUCAGAGGAAGUAC